rnacentral:misc_RNA from 1 species
UGGCUCCGGCAUCGAUGAAGAACGCAGCGAAAUGCGAUAAGUAAUGUGAAUUGCAGAAUUCAGUGAAUCAUCGAAUCUUUGAACGCACAUUGCGCCCUCCGGUCCUCCGGGGGGCAUGCCUGUCCGAGCGUCAGUGCAAUCCUCGAGCCUCCGGCUUGGUGUUGGGUGCCGUGUCCCCCCGAGGGGUGCGGGUCCAGAAAAAUAGCGGCGGUGCGGCCGGGCGAUCGAGCGCAGUAACCAAGUCUUCCGCUCCGACCUCGCCCGGGCGCUCCGGCCGGACAACCCCCCCCCGAACCCAUGAAUUGACCUCGGAUCAGGUAGGGAUACCCGCUGA